rnacentral:misc_RNA from 1 species
GACGGAGGCCCCGAGCGUUGUUCGGAAUUAUUGGGCUUAAAGCGCGUGUAGGCGGAGCCGUAAGUACUUUGUGAAAUCCCCGGACUCAAUCCGGGAAUUGCUUGGUAUACUGCGGUUCUCGAGGCAGGUAGGGGUCACUGGAACCUUAGGUGGAGCGGUGAAAUGCGUAGAUAUCUAAGGGAACGCCUGUGGCGAAAGCGGGUGACUGGGCCUGUCCUGACGCUGAGACGCGAAAGCGUAGGGAGCAAACGGG